AUUGAACGCUGGCGGCAUGCCUUACACAUGCAAGUCGAACGGCAGCACGGGAGCUUGCUCCUGGUGGCGAGUGGCGAACGGGUGAGUAAUACAUCGGAACGUACCCUGAAGUGGGGGAUAACGUAGCGAAAGUUACGCUAAUACCGCAUAUUCUGUGAGCAGGAAAGAGGGGGAUCGCAAGACCUCUUGCUUUAGGAGCGGCCGAUGUCGGAUUAGCUAGUUGGUGAGGUGAAGGCUCACCAAGGCGACGAUCCGUAGCGGGUCUGAGAGGAUGAUCCGCCACACUGGGACUGAGACACGGCCCAGACUCCUACGGGAGGCAGCAGUGGGGAAUUUUGGACAAUGGGCGCAAGCCUGAUCCAGCCAUGCCGCGUGAGUGAAGAAGGCCUCGG
rnacentral:rRNA from 1 species